rnacentral:rRNA from 1 species
GUGGGGAAUAUUGGACAAUGGGCGAAAGCCUGAUCCAGCCAUGCCGCGUGUGUGAAGAAGGUCUUCGGAUUGUAAAGCACUUUAAGUUGGGAGGAAGGGCAGUAAGUUAAUACCUUGCUGUUUUGACGUUACCAACAGAAUAAGCACCGGCUAACUUCGUGCCAGCAGCCGCGGUAAUACGAAGGGUGCAAGCGUUAAUCGGAAUUACUGGGCGUAAAGCGCGCGUAGGUGGUUCAGCAAGUUGAAGGUGAAAUCCCCGGGCUCAACCUGGGAACUGCCACCAAAACUACUGAGCUAGAGUACGGUAGAGGGUAGUGGAAUUUCCUGUGUAGCGGUGAAAUGCGUAGAUAUAGGAAGGAACACCAGUGGCGAAGGCGACUACCUGGACUGAUACUGACACUGAGGUGCGAAAGCGUGGGGAGCAAACAGGAUUAGAAACCCCGGUAGUCC